CCUACGGGAGGCAGCAGUGAGGAAUAUUGGUCAAUGGGCGGAAGCCUGUACCAGCCAAGUAGCGUUCAGGAUGACGGCCCUACGGGUUGUAAACUGCUUUUAUACGGGAAUAACGCGCCUUACGUGUAGGGCUUUGCAUGUACCGUAUGAAUAAGGACCGGCUAAUUCCGUGCCAGCAGCCGCGGUAAUACGGAAGGUCCGGGCGUUAUCCGGAUUUAUUGGGUUUAAAGGGAGCGUAGGCCGCAUGUCAAGCGUGCUGUGAAAUGUCCGGGCUCAACCCGGGCCUUGCAGCGCGAACUGGCGUGCUUGAGUCCGCGGAAAGCAGGCGGAAUUCGUCGUGUAGCGGUGAAAUGCUUAGAUAUGACGAAGAACCCCGAUUGCGAAGGCAGCUUGCUGCAGCGGAACUGACGCUGAUGCUCGAAAGCGCGGGUAUCGAACAGGAUUAGAUACCCUUGUAGUC
rnacentral:rRNA from 1 species